ACGUUUUUUUCAUAGAGAUUUAGAUUUAAGGUUAGAAGAAUUGUGGAAGUCGUGAGACUUCCCUUUUUUUGCCUUAAAUUGUUUCCUCCUUACGCUUGAUCUUUGCUUAGUGAGGGGGAAAAUAAAAAGCGCUUUCGUGAGAAAGAGCUUUUUU
rnacentral:sRNA from 2 species